GGUGACUGCGUACCUUUUGUAUAAUGGGUCAGCGACUUAUAUUCUGUAGCAAGGUUAACCGAAUAGGGGAGCCGAAGGGAAACCGAGUCUUAACUGGGCGUUAAGUUGCAGGGUAUAGACCCGAAACCCGGUGAUCUAGCCAUGGGCAGGUUGAAGGUUGGGUAACACUAACUGGAGGACCGAACCGACUAAUGUUGAAAAAUUAGCGGAUGACUUGUGGCUGGGGGUGAAAGGCCAAUCAAACCGGGAGAUAGCUGGUUCUCCCCGAAAGCUAUUUAGGUAGCGCCUCGUGAAUUCAUCUCCGGGGGUAGAGCACUGUUUCGGCAAGGGGGUCAUCCCGACUUACCAACCCGAUGCAAACUGCGAAUACCGGAGAAUGUUAUCACGGGAGACACACGGCGGGUGCUAACGUCCGUCGUGAAGAGGGAAACAACCCAGACCGCCAGCUAAGGUCCCAAAGUCAUGGUUAAGUGGGAAACGAUGUGGGAAGGCCCAGACAGCCAGGAUGUUGGCUUAGAAGCAGCCAUCAUUUAAAGAAAGCGUAAUAGCUCACUGGUCGAGUCGGCCUGCGCGGAAGAUGUAACGGGGCUAAACCAUGCACCGAAGCUGCGGCAGCGACACUAUGUGUUGUUGGGUAGGGGAGCGUUCUGUAAGCCUGUGAAGGUGUACUGUGAGGUAUGCUGGAGGUAUCAGAAGUGCGAAUGCUGACAUAAGUAACGAUAAAGCGGGUGAAAAGCCCGCUCGCCGGAAGACCAAGGGUUCCUGUCCAACGUUAAUCGGGGCAGGGUGAGUCGACCCCUAAGGCGAGGCCGAAAGGCGUAGUCGAUGGGAAACAGGUUAAUAUUCCUGUACUUGGUGUUACUGCGAAGGGGGGACGGAGAAGGCUAUGUUGGCCGGGCGACGGUUGUCCCGGUUUAAGCGUGUAGGCUGGUUUUCCAGGCAAAUCCGGAAAAUCAAGGCUGAGGCGUGAUGACGAGGCACUACGGUGCUGAAGCAACAAAUGCCCUGCUUCCAGGAAAAGCCUCUAAGCAUCAGGUAACAUCAAAUCGUACCCCAAACCGACACAGGUGGUCAGGUAGAGAAUACCAAGGCGCUUGAGAGAACUCGGGUGAAGGAACUAGGCAAAAUGGUGCCGUAACUUCGGGAGAAGGCACGCUGAUAUGUAGGUGAAGUCCCUCGCGGAUGGAGCUGAAAUCAGUCGAAGAUACCAGCUGGCUGCAACUGUUUAUUAAAAACACAGCACUGUGCAAACACGAAAGUGGACGUAUACGGUGUGACGCCUGCCCGGUGCCGGAAGGUUAAUUGAUGGGGUUAGCGGUAACGCGAAGCUCUUGAUCGAAGCCCCGGUAAACGGCGGCCGUAACUAUAACGGUCCUAAGGUAGCGAAAUUCCUUGUCGGGUAAGUUCCGACCUGCACGAAUGGCGUAAUGAUGGCCAGGCUGUCUCCACCCGAGACUCAGUGAAAUUGAACUCGCUGUGAAGAUGCAGUGUACCCGCGGCAAGACGGAAAGACCCCGUGAACCUUUACUAUAGCUUGACACUGAACAUUGAGCCUUGAUGUGUAGGAUAGGUGGGAGGCUUUGAAGUGUGGACGCCAGUCUGCAUGGAGCCG
rnacentral:rRNA from 1 species